AAGCCAUGAUGUGGGCAUAAUCUCAUUAGCUCCUUGAAUCUUUCCCAAGCUUCAUAAAGCAAUUCACCAUCCUUUUGACAAAAACCAGUAAUUUGGUUCCAUAGCCU